CAUAGUUUCUUAUUAAUAUGUUUUGCUGAAACCCAGAGAGUUGUACCACAGAUUCUGAUAGUGCUACCUUGCUCAAGAAUACUCUACUGCACAUAUACUACAAGGACACAGAAGAGAAACCAAACUGGCUUGAUGCAGCUGGACGUGGUGGUAGCUGAAUGCCAGAGAGGAGACCAACAGCAGCAAAAGAAAAAUGCUGGGAAGGGCAACGAUGCCUCCAAUCCCAGGCUUUUCGUGAAGGUCUCCUCAAGACCUGGAGCUGGAGUAGGGGAAAAGGGAUGGAAAAGCUCCAUUGUACCACCUGAAAUGUUGGGGCUGACAUCUUUACAACUGACUUCAUAGACCUUCCUCCCUUCCAUUACUGCCAUGUAAUUUUGUUUGUCAUUGACCGUUACAUGAUAUGUCAACCAGAUUUUUGGCACUUCCGUGCUGAAACAAAACUCCAUGCGUGGGAAUAUAAUCACACUGGCACACAUCUUUUCUUCUGUCUUUUCCUACUCAAAAUAUUUUAUGAAACCACAAAUACUGCAAUUAGAUUGAAUUCUAUAUAGCCAGUGAAUCUAUAUAAAUGUGUGUAAUUUUGAAUUUAGAAUUUGGGUUUCCCUCCUGCAAAUUGUUUUGGCACAGGGUAUAUUCUGGCAUGAGUAAUGUUGGUCCUUAUCUAUUCCUUACUAAAAACCCUGUCACUGCUUCAGUGGGAUGAAAUCUAGUCUAAGUAACAUCAGUAGAAAAAAAACAGCUAUGCUGGAUAUAUUUAAUGGCACAUUUGUUUAAAGAGGGAGGAUUGAGAAUAAAAUCCCCCUAGGCUGCAGUCUUAUGUACACUGUUCUAGGCGUAAGUCUCAUUGAACUAAGUGGGACUUACUACUGAGUAGACAGGCAUAAGAUUGUGCUGUCAAUAAUAUACAUGCAAGAAACAAAAUAUUGUCACACAAAACGAAAUGUGCGGCAUCAGCAUGAAGUCUGUAUGCAACAAAUGAGUGAAAUGUGCUUCUGAUUUUUUUUGAGCUUUGAGAAGUUCCAUGGAUUGCGCUAUGUUUCCUUUGUGCGAGAGAGUAUUGAAGAAUACAGUAUCUUUGUAAUAUUUGCUUUAUUUACAAAUAUGUAGACAAAACAUAAAUGGAGGCAAAUAGGCAAGGCAACAGAUCUGUUACUCCAGAUCAGAUCUCUAGGAAGGAGUCUGCACUCCAAGCUGCUUUGCCUUCAGGAAACUUGGCUUUCCCUGUCCUUCUCUAUCUAGAUUCAGAACAUUAUUCAUCUCAAACUCCACCCCUGCAGUUGAAUUGACUAUUCAGGGGGCCCUCCGUAGCCAUUCCAUUUAGGGAUCAGUAACAUUGUUUUGUCAGUUCUCUAAUCGGGCAACACUUUCAGCAAAAACCAUGGACUACUGUAAGGUUCUAUUAACAGGAGUAUCCCUAGAAAAGUGACAAGACAACCUAUUGCAAAAUAAGUGUUCUACUUAUAUUUGCUCUUGCAGCAGCAUCCAAAAUUGGCUAUGCAAAUGGGAAAUAUUACAUUGAAAUUGGACCUCAGCUGUGUGUUUGAGAAGACAGAUGGGUUAUAUUUGUGGGUUAUGGGGAGGGGGUGUUCUUUCCAUUUUAAAAAGCUGAAAUCUAAUAUUUUCCCAGUUUAACUAUAAGUGUAUCAGAAGGAGAUUUAAGUUAUAUAGCAGACUACAUAAUGGUAUUGAGCCACUGUGGCCAGCAAGUACAAUGCGGCAAUUGGGUCUGAAAGGUCUGCUUCCAAAACCUGGCUCAGUCAUAGACUGGGAUUUUGUCUCACAGUGCAAUCCUGUACAUGUCUGCAGAAAAGUAAACCCCACUUGAUUCAACGGAAUUUACUCCAAGGUUUGUAUAGGACCACAAGCUCAGUUACCCAUCUGUAAAGCUGGCACGAUAGUAGUCUACAUCCUAGAGUUUUGAGAACAAGUAGGAUCACCCCUAAAAGCAGUUUCCCCUUAAUCCAGAACAUUUGGUGUUCAUCCAGGGAGAAGUGGCUCACUGGGUAGGAUGUAGCUGCUACCCUUGUUUCUUGGCACAUAGAUUAUUGUUGCUCACUGAAUUUGCAUGGCAUUUGCAUAGAGAGCUUGCUUAUUCUGAGCUCCAUCAGAAUUCUUUAGGAACUUCAGAAAGAGUUUGGCAGUUAUAGCUAGGUUACUCUUGGCAUAAACUGAAAUGUGUGUGUGUGUAUGGAUGGAUGGAUGGAUGCAUUUAUUCAUUUAUUUAUUUGCAAACCAUCCUGUGGCCAUUUUUGUUAAA